CAAAACUCAUCCAUAGAGACAAGAUGUCAUGUUACUUAGUUUUGCCACUCCAAACGGUUAUUUUCCACCUAAAAGGACAACGAAAAUUCUACCGUGACGUUGGAAAUAGGUUUAGCUUUACCCCGUCCCGAUCGUUGGAAAAAACAAAUCCAACGGCCAAAAAUAGAUGACCGUUCAACGAGUUUUUCAUCUCAUUUGGAGCCCAUUUGGAAACCAAAGUCUGCCAGAUUAGAGAGAGAGAGGAGAGCCCCUCUUCUCCGUGGUGAGUGCUGAUUUCUCUUCUCAGUUUUCUCUUUUCUUCUUAGAGUUGUUGUUUUUGUGUAAAAUCAGGAAGAGGUGAUGGCAGCAGCCAGGAUUGAUUUUCCCAAACCAGAGGAAUACUUGACUCAGUUGGAGGAAGCGAUGAAGAAAUAUGACCACAUAGAUUACUUGGACAAAAUCUAGAGCCUUUCUUUUUCCAUCCUAUCAGGUAAUCUCUUUGAAGUUACAGUUGUUCCUGUUCCAUCCUUGUAAGGAUUUAAUGUUUCUUCCAAUUUUCUUUUGCUUCAAGCUAACUUUUGGUGGAUGGCUCAUAUGGAAAAUGGAAGUUUUACAUUAUCAGGUUGUCAAGGUUUGCUUGUGUCAGUUGUCUUCAUUUGUCAUUCUCUUAUAGGAUUACAUUCUCCCCUUUACAUUCUUCCCAAUGAAUUAAAAGCAAGGGACGAUACGACUCCAAAUACAUUUAGGACACCUGUCCCUAAAUCUACAGUAAAGAGCACCGACAAGUUGGUCACUGUUGCUACAGUAAAAAGGAGCAUUAUUGUCACUGAUAAAUUGGUCACAGUAGAAGAAUAUUACUUUUACUUUUUCUUUUCUAAAAAAAGCAUUCUACUUUUUCAAAGCAUCUUACUUUCUGUCGGUGCGGAUUUGAAACCCUUUGAAGUCCGACCCCUCCUCUAUAUAAGGAGGCCUGACCAAAGGGGAGAACACCUUCGUUUCGAGUCUUUUGAGUGUUUGCUUAUUGUCCGAGUGUUUGCUUAUUGUCUGAGUGUAAACUUUGCUUAAGUUGUUCGAGUCUUCUUAAGAAGAGGAACCACUCAGUUGGUAUAUCAUUUUUUUCUUCAAGGCUAUCAUGUAAGUGUUACAACUUUGUUUUAUAUUAUAACCUUGUAUUAAAUAUGUAUUUUAACUUUU